AUGGAAUUUGAGUUUGUUUGUUUCAGAGUCAGAGAGCGUGUCUCUGUACAGUCAGAGGUUUUUGUACGACGCUUUAACCAGUUUGUAUCACUGUGGUGGACUUUUGGUGGAGGAACCAGACUGGAAGUUGGAAGUGAUGCCCCGCCCUCCCUGACCGUGCUCCUCCCCUCCACCAAGGAGCUGCAGCAGGGGAAGGCCACACUCAUGUGUGUGGCCAACAAGGGCUUCCCCUCAGACUGGACUCUGUCCUGGAAGGUGGUCGGCAGCAGCAGCAGCAACUGGGAGGAGAGCAGGAGCCCCGGGGUGCUGCAGAAGGACGGCCUCUACAGCUGGAGCAGCACCCUGAGGCUCUCUGCAGACCAGUGGGAGAAGGUGACCUGUGAGGCCAAGAGAGGAUCCCAGACUGCAGUCUCAGAGACUCUCAGGAGAGACCAGUGCUCCCAGUCCUGAACGCAAACAUUCUGGAUAUAAAUCUUUUUUCUAUGUAGUUCUUCUUUUACAUUCUCUUUCUCAAACUCUGUUUGCAUUUUUGGCUUGUUGCAGUUUAACAUAAAAAAGUUGUAAUCAAAUAAAAAACUAUUUUCAUUUGAACUCUUUACUCGUCCUACUAUGACAAAAUACAUUUAUUUUUUAUACUGACAUCAGCUAUUUUAGGAUGAAUUAAGUACAUUUUUGUAAAAAAAAAAGAAA